rnacentral:rRNA from 1 species
UACUAAAGUUGUUGCGGUUAAAAAGCUCGUAGUUGAAAUUGUGUCCUGCGGCGUCGGUCUACCGGUUGCGGUACGACAGGCGCGUCUGCGGGGCUUCUCGCCGGUGCGUGUUCACCGCCGGCACGUCGCCGCGCGUCGUCGCGCUUUGCGGCGUCGACGGCGUCGGCGGCGUCGAGGCGGGCCCUCGCGGCUGUUUACUUUGAACAAAUUAGAGUGCUCAAAGCGGGCUAAUAUUUGCCUGAAUAUUGUGCGCAUGGAAUAAUAGAAUAGGACCUCGGUUCUGUUUUGUUGGCUCUCUGAUACCGGAGGUAAUGAUUAAUAGGGACAACUGGGGGCAUUCGUAUUGCGACGUUAGAGGUGAAAUUCUUGGAUCGUCGCAAGACGGACUAAAGCGAAAGCAUUUGCCAAAGGUGUUUUCAUUAAUCAAGARCGAAAGUUAGAGGUUCGAAGGCGAUUAGAUACCGCUGUAGUUCUAACCAUAAAUGAUGCCAGCCAGCGAUCCGCCGAAGUUCCUUUGUUURAUUCGGUGGGCAGCUCCGGGAAACCAAAGCUUUC